rnacentral:rRNA from 1 species
AGCGAACGCUGGCGGCAGGCUUAACACAUGCAAGUCGAGCGGGCAUCCUUGUGGUGUCAGCGGCAGACGGGUGAGUAACGCGUGGGAACGUGCCCUUCGGUUCGGAAUAACUCAGGGAAACUUGAGCUAAUACCGGAUACGUGCGAGAGCAGAAAGGUUUAUCUGCCGAAGGAUCGGCCCGCGUCUGAUUAGCUAGUUGGUGAGGUUAUGGCUCACCAAGGCGACGAUCAGUAGCUGGUCGGAGAGGAUGAUCAGCCACACUGGGACUGAGACACGGCCCAGACUCCUACGGGAGGCAGCAGUGGGGAAUAUUGGACAAGGGGGCAACCCUGAUCCAGCCAUGCCGCGUGAGUGAUGACGGCCUUAGGGUUGUAAAGCUCUUUUCUCCGGGACGAUAAUGACGGUACCGGAGGAAUAAGCCCCGGCUAACUUCGUG